ACCAGACUCCUACGGGAGGCAGCAGUGGGGGAUAUUGCACAAUGGGGGGAACCCUGAUGCAGCGACGCCGCGUGGGUGAAGGAGUGCUUCGGCAUGUAAAGCCCUAUCGGCAGGGAAGAAGCAAGACGGUACCUGACUAAGAAGCCCCGGCUAAAUACGUGCCAGCAGCCGCGGUAAUACGUAUGGUGCAAGCGUUAUCCGGAUUUACUGGGUGUAAAGGGAGCGCAGGCGGCACGGCAAGCCUGAUGUGAAAGCCCGCGGCCCAACCGCGGGACUGCAUUGGGAACUACCGGGCUGGAGUGCCGGAGAGGUAGGCGGAGUUCCUAGUGUAGCGGUGAAAUGCGUAGAUAUUAGGAGGAACACCGGUGGCGAAGGCGGCCUGCUGGACUGCGACUGACGUUGAGGCUCGAAAGCGUGGGGAGCAAACAGGAUUAGAUACCCUUGUACA
rnacentral:rRNA from 1 species